UACGGCUAUAUCACGUUGAUACCGGUUCUCGUACGAUCACCGAAGUUAAGCAACGUCGAGCCUGGACAGUACUUAAAUGGGUGAACACUUGAGAAGUGCUG